UCUAAUAAUCAUCCAGUCUUAACAUAGACUUAGGCUCCGACUAACCAUGUCCAACUGUUAAACUUAUAUAGUGCGAUUGUCGUGUUUUAUUUUAUUCAGUUUUGUUUUGUUCUUUUAAAUAGUUUUCCUUACUUUAAAUUAUUGUAAACUGUAUACAUAAUUGAAAAUUCACGUUGCGUAUAUUUUUUCAUAUUCAGAACUUUGCUACUCAAAGACGUAUUCCCGUUCGCGGCAGGUAAGCCGGUAAUUAUAUCAUACACUCAUGACCCCGGUUGUACUUCCUCUAAUAGAAAAAGGUAUUGCCAUAAAAAGGGGAAAUUCGCCAUUCACAUCCGAAUAGGCACCUACCUAUUGACUCCCCCUUUUUAGGUCUUUACAAGUUUAUAUAGACUAACUUUAAAUAUCUAUGUUUUUCGUUGGAAAGAAAGAUAUUUUCAUUCUGAGCGAAG